GUCCUCAUCAACGCUGCGUUUCUAUGCUACAAACAGAUAAACUUGCUCACCCAAGUAUAUCAGAUCGCUUGCGAUCAAUCAUUUGCAUAUGAGAAAUUCGGAGUACUCUUCAAAAUUACCUCGUUCCUUUUCCUUCUGGCAAAGAUGAACAGGUCUGCCCGUGAGGGUUCGGCGUGAUUUCACGUCUGCAAUUGGCAUCAGAAAAGCAGGGCAUGGUCACUCUUUACAUAUCAAAUCUGAAAGGAGGAGAGAAAAGAGUUGUGUGCUAUUGUUCCUAUGGGAGAGCCGUUGCGAAGAUUGUGUGUGCUAAGGCAUGACACUUAAGUGCAAUACGUGGCGUGCUGGACUUGUCGUCUCUUCGGUGGUGACAAGUUGGGUACAAUUCGAUUCCGAUUACUCUGUUGAGGAC
rnacentral:RNase_P_RNA from 2 species